CCCCCCUCCGAGCAUCCCUGACCCGACACGAGUGUCGGCCUUCGGAGGGGGACGGUGAGGGCUCUACGGUCAUUUCCAGGCCAGCUGCUAGUCACCCCGGCAAGGAAUGUCUGCCUCACAUCGCAGGGUGAAUCACAGAGUUUGCGCAACAGUGUUCCUGUGGGGCAGCGAGGGGCGGAGGCAGGAGCCCUCCUGCUGUUUACCUGUCAGCCAGUGGACUUUGGAACUAAGUUGAGCAUCGUUUACAUAUAGCAUGCUUCGUCAGCUGUUUGUAAUAUAUACCUGAGCACUCUUUGGAAACCUCGGAGCGAGAAAAACAGAAGGGACAUGAAAAAAGAGAAUAAAUGCACAAUUGUGCU